rnacentral:rRNA from 1 species
AGCCUAAGGAAAAGAUCUUAGGUUAUACCUGCCCAAUGUGUUUUUAUCAAUGGCCGCGGUACUUUGACCGUGCUAAGGUAGCGCAAUCAAUUGGCUCUUAAUUGGGGUCAGGAAUGAAUGGAGUUUACGGGGUUCAACUGUCUCCUGGUUAAUUAUUUGAAAUUACUAUGCAGGUGAAAAAGCCUGUAGUUAGAAAAAGGACGAGAAGACCCUUAGAGUUUCACUUAAUUUGAGUGUUAUUAAAAAUUGCUCAUUAAUAGUUUAGUUGGGGCAACAUAGGAGCAAUAAGUUGAUUAAUCUCCUAAAUAUAAUUAACCGAUAAUUUUAAAUGUGAAUAAACUACCUUAGGGAUAACAGCAUAAUUUUAAAAAUAAGUUUGUGACCUCGAUGUUGGACUAGGAAACUUAAAGGCUAGCCGUCUUUAAGGUAAGUUCUGUUCGAACUAUGUAUUCCU